rnacentral:rRNA from 1 species
UACGUAGGGGGCAAGCGUUGUCCGGAUUUAUUGGGCGUAAAGAGCGUGUAGGCGGCCAGGUAGGUCCGCUGUGAAAACUCGAGGCUCAACUUCGAGCUGUCGGCGGAAACUAUCUGGCUAGAGUCCGGAAGAGGAGAGUGGAAUUCCUGGUGUAGCGGUGAAAUGCGCAGAUAUCGGGAGGAACACCAAUGGCGAAGGCAGCUCGCUGGGACGUUACUGACGCUGAGACGCGAAAGCGUGGGGAGCAAACAGG